GAUGAACGCUGACAGAAUGCUUAACACAUGCCAGUCUUUGGCGAAGCUGUGCUUGCACCGCCUAGCCAAGGCGGACGGGUGAGUAACGCGUAAGGAACUUGCCCUGCAGUCAGGGAUAACAGACGGAAACGACUGAUAAGACCUGGUAAAGUCAGGCGGACUCAUGUCCAGCCUGAUGAAAAGUGAUGCUGCAGGAGAGCCUUGCGUCCUAUUAGCUUGUUGGUGGGGUAACGGCCCACCAAGGCGAUGAUAGGUAGCCGGCCUGAGAGGGUGGACGGCCACAAGGGGACUGAGAUACGGCCCUUACUCCUACGGGAGGCAGCAGUGGGGAAUAUUGGACAAUGGGGGCAACCCUGAUCCAGCAAUUCUGUGUGCACGAUGAAGGUUUUCGGAGUGUAAAGUGCUUUCAGCAGGGAAGAAAAAAAUGACGGUACCUGCAGAAGAAGCGACGGCUAAAUACGUG
rnacentral:rRNA from 1 species